ACAUAUCCCAUUGUGGUACAGGGCCAGGGUGUGUCUGUCAUUCCAGCAUAAACUUCAAUUUUAUGGGUUUACAAAUCAGAUGUUUUAAAUUACAGCUGAAUGAGACUGGAGACUCCUACACAAGUUGUCAUGUCAAAAGUGAACCGGGGAAAUAUUCAUGCAUUUUUUUUUUAUGCUGGGUAUCACAUGUGCAAAAAGAGGCUGGGAAAACUACUUUUAAGCCUUUGGGAGCAGUGUGGCUGCACUGCAUCCUCCUGGGAAUUGUGCUCCAAGAGCUGGGUUUAUCAAUAUCCCAAAGACAGAGUAACACAGUAGGUCCUGUGUGUACAUGGUGGUGCUGACAUAAGCAAUGUCCUCAUCCCCAGUGUCCUGGAAGACCACCAGCACAUCACUCCUCAGCUGCCAUUUCAGCCCUCAGGGACUGCUGAUAGCAUCAUUCCUGGGACAGCUUUUAUGUUAGAGCUAAGGAUCAGCAGUUCUAGGGCUACUUUCCAAAAGAAGACAAAUCCUUUGAACUAUGUAGCCAAAGACACUGCAAAUAUUCCUUUAGCCAGUAAAUAAUCUUGGAUUUUUACUUUUUGCCAGCCUUUGAUUUAUGAAAGAGACCUUUCUACAAAAACAAGGGACAAAAUCAACAUAUUUCUCCCAAUACAAAGUACAAGUGACUUCCUCAUCACCUGCAGUAUAAAAUAAAACCCAUCAUUUUUGGGUGGUAACAUUUAACCUAAAGGAACAAGGGUGUUCCAUUAAUGAUGGAGUGCUGGCCACAGGCUCCCAUUUUUGCUCUGCCUUAGACUUCUAUAAGCAAAAUCAUGAAGACCUUCAAGGUAUCUAAUUCCCAUCAAUUGUUUUUCCAGGAAUGAAGAACUAUCCCAGUUCUUAUGCCCUGUGCUUCAGAUCACACCAUGCAACAUGAAGGUUGCUUCACACACCUCAUCAGAAGGGGUAGUGAGGAUAAAGGCCCUGUGACCUCCAUGAGAUGUCCAUGUAGAGCACUACUACGCUGGUGUGAACUACUGUUUGAGCUGGAGUCAGUGGCAAAGCACAAGUUGGGAAUAAAACCAGGCCCUGUUCAACUGGCAUUUAAUUUAAAGGGACUUUUAACUCCA